GACGAACGCUGGCGGCGUGCUUAACACAUGCAAGUCGAACGGAAAGGCCCUGCUUUUGUGGGGUGCUCGAGUGGCGAACGGGUGAGUAACACGUGAGUAACCUGCCCUUGACUUUGGGAUAACUUCAGGAAACUGGGGCUAAUACCGGAUAGGAGCUCCUGCUGCAUGGUGGGGGUUGGAAAGUUUCGGCGGUUGGGGAUGGACUCGCGGCUUAUCAGCUUGUUGGUGGGGUAGUGGCUUACCAAGGCUUUGACGGGUAGCCGGCCUGAGAGGGUGACCGGCCACAUUAGGACUGAGAGACGGCCCAGACUCCAACGGGAGGCAGCGGUGGGGAGUAUUGCACAGUGAGCGGAAGCCUGAUGCAGCAACGCCGCGUGCGGGAUGACGGCCUUCGGGUUGUAAACCGCUUUCGCCUGUGACGAAGCGUGAGUGACGGUAAUGGGUAAAGAAGCACCGGCUAACUACGUG
rnacentral:rRNA from 1 species